GGGAAGUGGCGGCUGCCUAUACAUGCAAGUCGAGCGGACAGAAGGGAGCUUGCUCCUGGAAGUCAGCGGCGGACGGGUGAGUAACACGUGGGCAACCUGCCCCUUAGACUGGGAUAACUUCGGGAAACCGAAGCUAAUACCGGAUAACACUUUUUCUCUCCUGGGAGAAAGUUAAAAGAUGGCCUUUGUGCUAUCACUAAGGGAUGGGCCCGCGGCGCAUUAGCUAGUUGGUAAGGUAAUGGCUUACCAAGGCGACGAUGCGUAGCCGACCUGAGAGGGUGAUCGGCCACACUGGGACUGAGACACGGCCCAGACUCCUACGGGAGGCAGCAGUAGGGAAUCUUCCGCAAUGGACGAAAGUCUGACGGAGCAAUGCCGCGUGAGUGAGGAAGGCCUUCGGGUCGUAAAGCUCUGUUGUGAGGGAAGAACAAGUAUCGGUUGAAUAAGCCGGUACCUUGACGGUACCUCACCAGAAAGCCACGGCUAACUACGUGCCAGCAGCCGCGGUAAUACGUAGGUGGCAAGCGUUGUCCGGAAUUAUUGGGCGUAAAGCGCGCGCAGGCGGCUUCUUAAGUCUGAUGUGAAAUCUCGGGGCUCAACCCCGAGCGGCCAUUGGAAACUGGGGAGCUUGAGUGCAGAA
rnacentral:rRNA from 1 species